rnacentral:tRNA from 1 species
GGGGAAAUAGCUCAGUUGGUUAGAGUGCUGGUCUGUCACGCCAGAAGUCGCGGGUUCGAACCCCGUUUUCCCUG